rnacentral:lncRNA from 1 species
CAGCAAUCAGGACGGCAAGCCAGCGGCCGGUAAGCGGGCGGCCCCUCCCGGGCGUCCCCGAGCCGUGGGAUGCCCACGUGCCUCUCUUGGUGUCUCUUGCAGGGGACGACGCGCAGUUCGAGAUGGACAUCUGACCGGGCGCCCGCCGCUCUCCUUCGCCAUUGCCCCGUUUAUUGGCACGGCCCCGGAGCAGCCGGGGGACGCAGUGUGGCGGUGGGGAAGGUGAUGGCCAUCAGCCACGCGGUGCCUUGCGGGACAGCUGCUCUGCGAGCCAAGAAAAAAACAAUCAAGGACAAAGCGAACUUUCUACAGCUUUCUACGACAUUUCUACGACUUUCUACUGAUUAUUUUUCUCUUUGUUUUGUUUUAAACGGGAUUCUGGCUGAAAAGCAAGGAGUGCCCGGCGUCUCGGGGCAGCUUCUCUGCUGUUCAGGGUUGUCGGUGGGUUUUUUGGUUUUCCUGUCUCCUGCACAGGCGGAGG